rnacentral:rRNA from 1 species
UACGUAGGGGGCUAGCGUUGUCCGGAAUCAUUGGGCGUAAAGAGCGUGUAGGCGGCUCGGUAAGUCCGCUGUGAAAGUCCAGGGCUCAACCCUGGGAUGCGGGUGGAUACUGCUGGGCUCGAGUCCGGAAGAGGCGAGUGGAAUUCCCGGUGUAGCGGUGAAAUGCGCAGAUAUCGGGAGGAACACCAAUGGCGAAGGCAGCUCGCUGGGACGUGACUGACGCUGAGACGCGAAAGCGUGGGGAGCAAACAGG